AGUGAACGCUGGCGGUAGGCCUAACACAUGCAAGUCGAACGGCAGCACAGUAAGAGCUUGCUCUUACGGGUGGCGAGUGGCGGACGGGUGAGGAAUACAUCGGAAUCUACUUUUUCGUGGGGGAUCACGUAGGGAAACUUACGCUAAUACCGCAUACGACCUACGGGUGAAAGCAGGGGAUCUUCGGACCUUGCGCGAUUGAAUGAGCCGAUGUCGGAUUAGCUAGUUGGCGGGGUAAAGGCCCACCCAGGCGACGAUCCGUAGCUGGUCUGAGAGGAUGAUCAGCCACACUGGAACUGGGACACGGUCCAGACUACUACGGGAGGCAGCAGUGGGGAAUAUUGGACAAUGGGCGCAAGCCUGAUCCAGCCAUACCGCGUGGGUGAAGAAGGCCUUCGGGUUGUAAAGCCCUUUUGUUGGGAAAGAAAAGCAGCAGGUUAAUACCCCGCUGUUCUGACGGUACCCAAAGAAUAAGCACCGGCUAACUUCGUG
rnacentral:rRNA from 1 species